rnacentral:lncRNA from 13 species
UUACACAGCCCAGUGAUUAAUUAAUUACCCAAGACCUACAGGGGCUCGGUUGAGUACACCUGGUAUCUGUGACCAGGGCACACUCUUUGCAGUACCCCAGCCUCACAGCCCCUGAUGUGAGCAGAGAGGCACACAGACGAUCCCUCCAGGCUCACAGACACAGGCAGGGACGUCACUGUCAUGGUCCAGCAAACCCUGCUCCAUCCUGGGUCCUGGGCCACAGCACAGCGUGCAGGAGAUGGGGAGUAAGGCACCAUCAAGAAAGAAGAAAGAACCUCGGAGGCCAGGCAGGGGCUCCUCUCUGUUCUCCACAUGUGGCUGUGGCGUGUUGAAUGCAGAAGUUUCACAGGCAUGUACCAGACGCUGCAUUCUGGAAAUGGCUCUGGCCGUUGGUGCAUGUGAGGGCAGCUCCCGGAUUUUCCUGGUUACACACGAAGCCACUGUGAACACUUUUGCCGUGUCUCUUCUGCACGUGCUUGAUGAUUUCUGGAGGCUAGAAGAUCCCGUAGAAGGAGAAUUGCUGGGUAAAAGGUUUUAGGAGAGGAGACUUCGGGAGAACAUCUGUUCUGAGACCUCACUUCAGGACCCAGGAGUGACAUCCUCCAAAACCUGUCUGGGUUUCUGCUUCCCUGGAAUGGGCUUGGAGAAAGCAGAGGAGAUAGGACUGGGAAGCCUGGAACUCUGGGGCUACGAGGGAGCUCUGGCAGCAGGUGAGUGAAAUGCUUUCCUCCCACCUGGGCACCCAGCUCUUCUACCCAGAGGCUGCCUUUCCAGCUGAGGUGCCAGGCCAGCUGGGCC